GAUGAACGCUGGCGGCGUGCCUAAUACAUGCAAGUCGAGCGAACAGACGAGGAGCUUGCUCCUCUGACGUUAGCGGCGGACGGGUGAGUAACACGUGGAUAACCUACCUAUAAGACUGGGAUAACUUCGGGAAACCGGAGCUAAUACCGGAUAAUAUAUUGAACCGCAUGGUUCAAUAGUGAAAGACGGUUUUGCUGUCACUUAUAGAUGGAUCCGCGCCGCAUUAGCUAGUUGGUAAGGUAACGGCUUACCAAGGCAACGAUGCGUAGCCGACCUGAGAGGGUGAUCGGCCACACUGGAACUGAGACACGGUCCAGACUCCUACGGGAGGCAGCAGUAGGGAAUCUUCCGCAAUGGGCGAAAGCUUGACGGAGCAACGCCGCGUGAGUGAUGAAGGUCUGCGGAUCGUAAAACUCUGUUAUUAGGGAAGAACAAAUGUGUAAGUACUAUGCACGUCUUGACGGUACCUAAUCAGAAAGCCACGGCUAACUACGUG
rnacentral:rRNA from 1 species